UCUGUUUCAUAAUAAAACACUGCCGAGAAUCAAAACAUCAAAAAUAAAUUUUAAAUAAUAUUGAAACAUGUAUAUGUGUUCUAAUUAUGUAAUGAGUUCCCAACUUUUUCUAAUAUUGUCAAAGUGUCGUUCACAUGUGCAAAUUUGAAAAUGCUGGUGAUAACUCAAUAAAGUACAUGUAUUCAUAAUCAACUUAACAAUUGCAUAGUCCCAUCAGGCAAGCAAUCUAGGGACUCACGGCUCUCUUACUUACUCUUCGUUGGCGUAUAUAUAAAUAGAGCCAUCAAGUAAUCUCGAACAGAAAGCAUUCGUAAACGGUAAACACCGGUAAACGUGUUCUUAGUACGGCGUAUGCAUAAACAUGGCGUUUAUAUUGUUGAUGUUAAUGGUACAAUGUUUUGUAGUUGUGUCUGAAACAACGGAGCCUGAAUGUUCUCCUUUAAACUACGAGGAGAAAUUGUUAGAAAAGAUGGUGAGAAAUGGAAUUCAAAAUGGAGCAGGCGUUGAAGCGUAUUGAUGAUUUUGAAGGGCUAAUUCUCAGACAGAACCGCACAAUUCAAGGCGCUAUUGGUACGUUAAAAGACAUUGAAGCAAGACUUGAUUCCAAACUAUCGAUGUCCUUAACUGGAGCAACAUAUAACCGAUGGGGUCGAUCAUCGUGGCCUCAUUCGAACAACAGUCUCGUUUACCAUGGAUUUGCGGCCGGCACUGUAUAUUCUUUCAGCGGAGGAGCCGCUGAUUAUCAGUGUCUACCUGCCGAGCCUUAACUGGAAACUGUUGUAACAAGAGCCGACUAUAUAAGCAACAUAUACGCGUCAGAGUAUGAUACACGCGGAUCAAGAGCCUUGUCUUCAUUGGUAGACCACGAAGUGCCAUGUGUUGUUUGUUUCACGAAUGCUUCAACAACCAUUAUGAUUUCAGUAAAGAAAACGUGUAAAAAUGGAUGGAGACUCGAAUAUCGGGGCUUUAUGAUGACUGAGCGCGACAUUCAUGCUAACAAUAAGCAAUAUAUAUGUGUUGAUUAGAACGCAGAGUCGGCUCCAGGAAGUAGUUCAGCCAAUACUGGUUAUUUAAUUACGCUUUCUCCUUAGAUGGUCAUAUUACAAUCAUUCAUAACGUUUAUUUAUAGAUGUUUGUGUUGUGACAUAUAUGGUUAUGAUUACCAUAUAAGGUAAAGACGGCCAGGGACCAGAGUCGCUCUGCAAUAAUAAUGGCGCUCUGUUUCACCUUGUAUUUCCGACGUGUGGAUCAUUGAAAUGUCCUCCUUUACAACAGCGCAUCAGCACUUGCAUGCGUUGUUUGUUAAAAAAUGUAGGUCACACAAAGAUUAGAUUACAUAACUGAUAAAUGAUUACUUACGUAAACAAUUAUCUGGCUUUGUUGGUGUGUUGGAACAGAAGGAAUCUUUUGUGAGAGAAAAUUACUAUGAGCUGAACAAAAUACCCUUACACAGGUAUUCAUUUGCGAUGUCAUUGUCAAUGAAAUAUAUUUAAUUUAAGCAAACAAAAAGCAUUUCAACCGACAGCACGAAACUACAACUUGUUAAACUAAAUUACGAAUCUUUUAACAAGCCUGUUUCCCUGUUGUCGUUGAGAUUAUUAGCCAUAUAUUUAUGUUUUACCACGCUUCAUAAGCGGUAAUCUAUUCUUAGCUUAUACUAUGCAAUACUGGUACAUAUGCAAUGUCCUCUUCAUUUUUGACAUACACGUUCAUACGUAUUAUUCAUAGUUAUUGAAAUGUUACAUACUCGGAGAACCCGCUGUUGACAACUUGUCAUAAUUUUAUCACUUGAAUGGAUCACUUUCUACAAUUUUUUAAAAUUAUAAUUGUGUUGACAUGGAAUACACAUCAUCCGUGCGAGUGGAUAAUUUGCAAACAAAUAAGGCGUUCCUUUAUGAAAUACAAUUUUAUGUUAUUACUAUAACAUUUCACACAUUUUCUGAAUAACAAAAGUUAUUAAGAUUAUUUAUUUAACAAUUCGCAAUUUCAACAAUAUAAAAGCACUGCUUACAUUGUUCAUUUGGAGAUGAAUGCAUGUUGCAACCUGUUUCAGUGUAAGUUUAGUAAUAUGUUUAAGGGUAUAAGGCUGUGUUGAAUGUUAAUUGAAUACAACUAAAGUCCUAGUUAUACAAUAUUAUAUUUAAAGGUUUA